CACAAGCUCCAAGUGGUAGCUACUUCAACUGUGAUGUAACAGACAGCACAGAACAAUCGCUGUUUCCAUGCCAUUUGGCAACUCCAUUCUCCUGGGCUCUGAGGGCUUCUUAAGAUAAGAACCAAGGGGCUUUUCAAAAUCACACCAUGACCACAGUUGUUUUGUGGGAGCUGGUAGCUUCUUCUAUCACUCUAGAUCUUUGACACCAGAAGGCUGCCUGGCUCCAAAUUCUUAAAAAUUGAAGAUGUCAGAGGAUGCAGCGGGUGAGUCCUGUGGACAUCAGAGGGGCUUCGACGCUGUGGAGCUGCUGUUCAGGUGGACACUGCUGGCCUCGAUCCCAUCAUGGAGACCACAUGGAUGCUGGGAAUGCAUCUCCCAUUGGCCGAGCUGAGGAUAUGAGUGGGCCAUGGAGAUUAGAAUCUCUUCCUGUUGCCCAGGCUGGUCUUCGACUCCUAACUUCAAGUAAUCCUCCUGCUUUAGCCUCCCAAAGUGCUGGGAUUACAGGCGUGAGUCACAGUGCCCAGCCCCAUUCCCAUUUUCUAAAUCUUUCAGAAUUUCAGAUUGCCUUAAACUACUGGAAAAAAGCUACUGUAAUACCUCGACAUAUCACUGCCAUGCAACACCACCCAAACCAUCUUCACACCUCUGCCCCUGGCAUGUGACUGGCCUGCAUUUCAGGAGGUGAAAGAUCAGACCUUUGUUAAUUGUUAAAGCACUCAGGAACCCAGAAAUAAACAUGCACGUCGAAGUUGAUCUGAGAACUAA
rnacentral:lncRNA from 13 species